GGGGUCGUGGGGUAACCUGGCAUCCUAGCAGGCUCCAGACCUGCCGACGAGGGUUCAAAUCCCUCCGACCCCA
rnacentral:tRNA from 1 species